rnacentral:misc_RNA from 1 species
AAGUCGUAACAAGGUUUCCGUAGGUGAACCUGCGGAAGGAUCAUUACCUUUCAUCGGGGAGUUGUAGUUCGCUAUAGCUCCUGUCUGAACCCAUGUCUAUUGCGUACUUAUGUUUCCUCGGCGGACUUGUUCCGCCGAUUGGACUCUUCAAAACCUUUUGUAAUUGUAAUCAGCGUCUGAAAAAUAUUUAAUAUUUACAACUUUCAACAACGGAUCUCUUGGUUCUGGC